GCUGGCGCAGAGCCUGCUGGGACCCGAGGACCGAGAAACCCGCCGCCAGAGGGCAGCAUCCAGGGGAGCGGGGACCCCGGAGCGGAGAGCAGGCGGCAGGCACACCUGGCUGACACCCAGGGGCGGGCAAAGGUCCGAGGUUCUGAUCCUGAUCAGAUUGAGCCCGGCAUUCACAGAAAGCAGGGGACCUAUGGAGACCCAUGGAGACGGGACCGAGGGUGGUAAGUGGGAGACAGGAGGAGCCUGGAGUCCAGCUUAGACUGAGAACAGAACCAGACUAACAGCCCGCCAGCCAGAAGACCAGAGGCCUACAACUUCAGUUCACAGAGAGGCCUUCUCCAAAAACACCCAAACGGCUUUCCUCUUGGUGGAAGAACCAAAAUCUGAACCAAGGAUGGUGGGAAAAUGGAGUCCCAGAGAGCAACGGGGGAGCUGUAAUUCACCAGGCUGUGAGCAUCUAAAUCAAUGAACUAAUUAAUGAGUAAACGAGCGUGAGUAAUGACGAAUGGCUGACCUAGUGGGUGGGAGGGGAGGCCAUUGGAGGAGUGAGAGACUGCAGGGGCACAGCGGGUGACCGGGAGAGUGAGGUCCUCCUUCCUCCCCUCCUUACCUUGGUCCACCUCCAGCUUCCAGGAAAAAGGCCCCUUUGCUCUCCUCUCGGGGAGAAUUCCAGAUUCUCUGCCAGGCUGUUGCCUAGCAACAGUGCCCUGCCUGGCCAGCCCCGCCCUCUCAGACGUCCAGGGCCGGGGUGCGCAGCCAACCCCGGGGCCUGGCCACUGGCAGGCAGGGAACGGGGGACCCGGGCUCCCAAGCUGAGGACAAGGAUGUCAGAGAUCGGGGAGCAGGCCGGGUGGGCUCUGAGGCCGGGGAAGGACCCCCAAGGAAAGACCACGUGGAGCAGCCGUGACUCUGGCCUGGGUCCCGGAACAGGGAGGGCGGAUGCAGGAUCCCACAGGCCUCGAGUCUGAAGUCCUGGGUUGGAGUGGACCUUGGAGCAGUCACUUCCCUUCCCGGACCUGCUUCCUCAUCUGCAGGAGGGAGACACGGUGCCACUCGCCAAGGGCCGGCGUGAGGAGGGAAGGCGCGCAGCGGGCUUGGAGCAAGCAGGCUGCUUUCAAAAGCAACCAGAAGCCCUGGGUCUGCAGGGCCCCUGAGGAGCAGCCCCUGAAGGACUUCUCCAGGUGGAAAUGGGGUGGGGAGAGGGGCAAUUCCUGGCGGAGGGAACAGCGAAGGCUGGAAGCCUGAAGCUGAAGUGCAUCUCAUAAUAGCUCAUGUUCGCCAAUGGCCAGGCACAUUUGCAUUGAACCCUCACCGCCGGCCACGAGGCUGGAACGCGUGGUGCUCCCAUUUUGCAGGAAAGGGAGUGUGGGCUCAGAGACCAGAAGGGGUACUGGAGGCCACACAGCAGGUGAACCAACUCCAGCUGCCUCUCCCCUGAAUUCCUCACCUAGGGGGAGCAAGAGCGAGAAGUGUGGCCACACCGUGUGCAGGGACCCCUUGUGUGCGACUGGAAGCACAGUGAAUUUCGAAAUCUGGGCAGGGGCAGUGGGGAGCCAUUGAUGGUUUCUGAGCUGGGAGAGGAUGCCCCAGGCCAGGUCCUCAGGUCCCUCGGUGCUGCCCCGGGCCAUCUGUCUCCACCUCCUACACUCUGCCACUCUUUGCAUCCAUGUCCCCCACCCUCCGCCCCCACUGCCUCUCAGCCACUGUGAGGAACCAUGUGUGACGGUGGAGAAUGUAAAAAUAUACGGAAAACAACAA